rnacentral:lncRNA from 1 species
AUAAAAUAUUUUACUGCAUUCAUAGCUUACAAUAUUAAAAUAAUGAUAUUGCAGGGUACGAUGGAUGAACAGUAUCAUCAGGGGCUUCAACAGCAACUCUUCGGAGCUCUUCUGGGUAGCAGAUGUGACAGCUACAGCAGUCAGGUUCUCCUAACCCACAACAGCCCAAAGCUAUCUUCAUUGUGACCACCCGACAAAUGAGGAAACGGGCUCUCAGGCUCAGUUACUCACGCAAUGGCGUCCUCCAUUCUUCCAGGCCCUGACUUGUGCUCCACAGAUGCAUUGAACAACGGAGAUAUGGUGUUUUCAGACAAGGGAAUAAAUUCCCGGAAGCAAGUGGCCAGGAAUGAAAAUCCUGGAGAACAAAGUGGAAUAAACCCGUAUUCAACGGUUCCUGUUGAUUUUCUUUCCUCCCUAAACACUGACCUCCCGCAGUCUUCACCAGCAGUAGAGCUGAAUCCCUUGAAAACACUCAUAGCACGAUGACAAGGUUUGGCAGCUGCAGUCUUGAAGACCAGGAAGUGAGGUGGGUAAAUACCUAGGAUGUACAGCCUCAUGCUUGUCAGUGCCCCUAGAGCGGGAGCCUCAGCAGCUGGGUUCCAGUUCCUGACUAGUGCUUGCUGGGUGCUCCUGGGGGCUCGCCUUCCCUGCUCGGGUGCUCCUUGUCUUUUGAGGGAGGGAAACGGUAUCCACUACGGGCAGCGAGGGUCUCUCUGAGUGCCACUCUGCCACUCUCUGCUGGGGUCCCUCCAUGCUGUCUGUCCCUGUGGCUCCCCCAACCCCAUGCCCAUCUGCUCCCUUCUCUGCCAUCGUCCCUCCUUUCACGGCAAUUGUCCCGCUGUCCCUUCACAGCCUAUCUCUCCCCUGAGCCUCUGGUGGUGUGAUUCAUCUCCCUCUGGUGGACUCAGGGCUGGCCAUGCGCUGCCUGCAGCUUGCACUAAUCAUAAUAGCAGCCACAGCUAAUACGUGAAUUGCUUUUCAGAGUUCAAGGAGGCUUCCAGCCUCACGAGCCCUUGGAUCCUUGCAAUAGUCCCUUGAAAUGGUAAGACUUUGGAUGCUUUAUACAUUUAUGUAAAAUGUAUUUUACAUUUAUAAAUGGAUGCAUUUAUUUUGGUUUUAAUAACAUAUUACUUUCUCAGGAACACAUAUUUAAACAGACAUUUUUGUUGAUCAAUAACAAUAAAGCUUUUUAAGAGUUUAUAUAAUCUACACUAAAUCUUUCACAAAAGCUAGGAGUAGAAUAUGAUAUAAUAGGCACUAAUUACUCUAAUUUUCUCUUACAUAGGGCAAGAAUAAAUACCUCGCAUUUUAUAGUGCUUUAUACUUCACCAGAAAAACCAAACCUACAUUUAAUUCCCAAUAUAAUAGGCUCAUCCAGCAAUCUUUGAGGUGAGGGAAACAAGACUUAUUAUCUCAAGUUUUAUGGUGGAGGAAAUAAAGGUUUAUGAUAAGUGAAAUAAUUUGUUCAGAGUUGCAAAUACCUCGUAGAUAGCAGAGUAGAGUUUGA